AGAGUUUGAUCCUGGCUCAGAACGAACGCUGGCGGCGUGCUUAACACAUGCAAGUCGAGCGCGAAAGGGACUUCGGUCCUGAGUAAAGCGGCAGACGGGUGAGUAACACGUGGAUAACCUAUCCCUUGGUGGGGGAUAAUUACUCGAAAGGGUGGCUAAUACCGCAUAAGACCGUGAAUUUUCGAAUUUACGGUGAAAGAUUUAUUGCCGAGAGAGGGGUCCGCGUCCGAUUAGCUAGUAGGUGAGGUAAUGGCUCACCUAGGCGACGAUCGGUAGCUGGUCUGAGAGGAUGAUCAGCCACACUGGUACUUAGACACGGACCAGACUCCUACGGGAGGCAGCAGUGGGGAAUAUUGCGCAAUGGACGAAAGUCUGACGCAGCAACGCCGCGUGGGUGAAGAAGGCCUUAGGGUCGUAAAGCCCUGUCAGAUGGGAAGAAACCUGCACUUGAUGCAGCUGACGGUACCAUCAAAGGAAGCACCGGCUAACUCUGUGCCAGCAGCCGCGGUAAUACAGAGGGUGCAAGCGUUGUUCGGAAUCACUGGGCGUAAAGGGCGCGUAGGCGGCUUUACAAGUCUGGCGUGAAAGCCCGGGGCUCAACCCCGGAAGUGCGUUGGAAACUGUAGAGCUUGAGUUCGGUAGAGGAGGGCAGAAUUCCCGGUGUAGGGGUGAAAUCCGUAGAUAUCGGGAGGAAAACCAGUGGCGAAAGCGGCCCUCUGGAACGAAACUGACGCUGAGGCGCGAAAGCGUGGGGAGCAAACAGGAUUAGAUACCCUGGUAGUCC
rnacentral:rRNA from 1 species